UACGAAGGGUGCAACCGUUAUUCGGAAUCACUGGGCGUAAAGGGUGCGUAGACGGCAUGUUAAGUUCGUUGUUAAAGGCUCCGGCCUAACCGGAGUACCGCGAUGAAAACUGGCGUACUAGAGGGUGAGAGAGAGAAGUGGAAUUCCUGGAGUAGCGGUAAAAUGCGUGGAUCUCAGGAGGAACACCAAUGGCGAAGGCAGCUUCUUGGCUCAUUCCUGACGUUGAGGCACGAAAGCGUGGGGAGCAAACAGG
rnacentral:rRNA from 1 species